rnacentral:rRNA from 1 species
UACGGAGGGUGCGAGCGUUGUCCGGAAUCAUUGGGCGUAAAGGGCGCGUAGGUGGCCCGGUCAGUUCGUGGUGAAAGCGCGGGGCUCAACCCUGCGUCGGCCAUGAAUACUGCCGCGGCUGGAGCACUGUAGAGGCAGGCGGAAUUCCGGGUGUAGCGGUGGAAUGCGUAGAGAUCCGGAAGAACACCGGUGGCGAAGGCGGCCUGCUGGGCAGUAGCUGACGCUGAGGCGCGACAGCGUGGGGAGCAAACAGG